rnacentral:rRNA from 1 species
UACGAAGGGGACUAGCGUUGUUCGGAAUUACUGGGCGUAAGCGCACGUAGGCGGAUUUGUAAGUCAGGGGUGAAAUCCCGGGGCUCAACCUCGGAACUGCCUUUGAUACUGCAAAUCUCGAGUCCGAUAGAGGUGGGUGGAAUUCCUAGUGUAGAGGUGAAAUUCGUAGAUAUGUGGAGGAACACCGAUGGCGAAGGCAGCCCCCUGGGUUAACACUGACGCUCAUGCACGAAAGCGUGGGGAGCAAACAGG